rnacentral:rRNA from 1 species
AACGAACGCUGGCGGCAUGCCUAACACAUGCAAGUCGAACGAGACCUUCGGGUCUAGUGGCGCACGGGUGCGUAACGCGUGGGAAUCUGCCCUUGGGUUCGGAAUAACAGUUAGAAAUGACUGCUAAUACCGGAUAAUGUCUUCGGACCAAAGAUUUAUCGCCCAGGGAUGAGCCCGCGUAGGAUUAGCUAGUUGGUGAGGUAAAGGCUCACCAAGGCGACGAUCCUUAGCUGGUCUGAGAGGAUGAUCAGCCACACUGGGACUGAGACACGGCCCAGACUCCUACGGGAGGCAGCAGUGGGGAAUAUUGGGACAAUGGGCGAAAGCCUGAUCCAGCAAUGCCGCGUGAGUGAUGAAGGCC